GAUGAACGCUGACAGAAUGCUUAACACAUGCAAGUCAACUUGAAUUUGGGUUUUUAACUUAGGUUUGGGUGGCGGACGGGUGAGUAACGCGUAAAGAACUUGCCUCACAGCUAGGGACAACAUUUGGAAACGAAUGCUAAUACCUAAUAUUAUGAUAAUAGGGCAUCCUAUAAUUAUGAAAGCUAUAAGCGCUGUGAGAGAGCUUUGCGUCCCAUUAGCUGGUUGGAGAGGUAACGGCUCACCAAGGCGAUGAUGGGUAGCCGGCCUGAGAGGGUGAUCGGCCACAAGGGGACUGAGACACGGCCCUUACUCCUACGGGAGGCAACAGUGGGGAAUAUUGGACAAUGGACCAAGAGUCUGAUCCAGCAAUUCUGUGUGCACGAUGAAGUUUUUCGGAAUGUAAAGUGCUUUCAGUUGGGAAGAAAGAAAUGACGGUACCAACAGAAGAAGUGACGGCUAAAUACGUG
rnacentral:rRNA from 1 species